ensembl:lncRNA
CUGCUUUGUCUGCAGGAACUGGGAGCAGAAGCAUGCAGCCCUCUGCAACCUCUAUGGCAGCAUUUCCAGGCCUUAAUCUUCUGCCAGGUGACCCAUCGUCAGGGCUUCCCUCAGGCUGCUGGAAUCAGUGCGUGCAGCAGUAACGAUCACAACCUGUGAAGCUCACACAGCCUAAAGUGUAGAAGCCUUGCAGAGAAAUCUUGUCUAAUGAGAGGGCAAUCAGCAAACGUGGGAAAUUUAACAAGAGCAACUGCCUGAUUCUGCACAUGGGACUGGACAACCCUGGUGUUAUGCUGUAGGAAGAGACUUAGCACUAGUAACUAAAGUAAAUGAGGUUGUAUAGAAACGUAGCUUUCUCCUCGUUGCAAAAGCUCGCUGUUAACAGCGAAGAAGAGGAUUCAACUGGAUAAGUUUCAGGAGACAUCAAGAAUGACGGGAUAAGAUCUGUAUAGCAACACGUGGAGAAGUACUGCCUGUUCUGGAAAGAUGCUGCCCAGGAAGCACCACCUGGAACUGGGAAUGAACGGGUGAAUGAAGAGGGAGAGACACAGGCCCAGAAAAUUAGAUUGGUUAAAAAGGACAAUUUGAGAUGGAACUAUGCAAGGAUGGGGUUGUGGCAACUCAUGAAAACUAUGGGAUUGAAAGUAACGGAAUUCUUCUUAAGAGAUGUUCGCCUUGGGCUGUAAAUCACAAGAACUGCAAACAAAUGAGGAUAAGGGACAGUCAGAGUGACCUACUGAAAGCAGAAGUCAAAGCUUGAACCAGAGAAUGUUGGAGGGGGCAGCAGCAUGAUUCCUUCAGCACAAGGUGACAGGAGUGCAAGUGCUGCCACGGUUUCUGGAGACCCAGGUGGGACCCUAUAGGUGAUGGCCAUCAGACCCUCCCGCCUCAAAGCAUCUGGCUGCCAGCAGUGGAUGAUGAGCUUGGUGCUCCCUUCCUGGAGAGUCCAGACUUCAUGCCUGUGCCUGAGGGACAGCCUGGAGGCCCUGCUGGUGAAUCAGCAGAUCGGAAUCCUGUCCAUGAGCCUGAGGGGGAGCUGGGAGGUAAGUCACACGGCUUCAUUUCCUUGAUAUUUGUUCAUAUUUGGCUGGGAUAGUUCAGCAAGGGUUCUGCUUUUCCGUGGCCCGUGGGUUCUUCUCCACAGGAAGCAUGGAUGGUGGUUGUUUCCUGGGUGCUACUGUGUCCUCAGCGUUGUGUUGGCUUUGUCUCUGAGAAUUGUUUCCCAUGGCCUGGAGAAAGUAUUUGGAAAGCUGUGGAAUACCAGCCAGAAGGUCACCUGGCCUCUCUGCAGCUUUGGAACUUCUGCCUCGUGUCAUUAAUUGAGCCCCUUCCAUCACUGCAGGUCAGUAAGGAGGAGAGAGAUGGGCACAUGCAAUGGGAACGUUUCUCCUCUGUCCUUGAUUACAGCCAUGUCUCCAGGCAGUUGCUUACAAAGCCCAGGUUUAAGCCAGUCACAGAGACUCGGGCCAAUCCCUCAGCUAAGUCCCUGAAAGGCUUUAGUUUUCAUUCAGGUUUUAAUUUUCUUUCCAAGUGACGUGUGACUUCCUGCUUCCUAUGCGGAAGAUAAGGGACGGUAUGGGUCAGGCUGAGUGCAG